GGUGGAGUGGUGUAAAGGUUAGCACACCCGACCGGACUUUGGGAGGCCCAGCUUUCAAAACCUGGCUCCGCCG
rfam:Ixodes scapularis strain Wikel colony gcontig_1107729071896, whole genome shotgun sequence.